AACGAACGCUGGCGGCCUGCCUAACACAUGCCAGUCGAACGCAACGUUCGGGAGCCGUGGCCUACGGGUGCGUCCCGCGUUGGAACCUGCCCUUAGGUUCCGAAUAACUCCCCGAAAGGGGUGCUAAUACCGGCUAAUCUCUUCGGACCAAAGAUUUAUCGCCUUUGGAUGGGCCCGCGUUGGAUUAGCUAGUUGGUAGUGUAAAAGCCUACCAAGGCGACGAUCCAUAGCUGGUCUGAGAGGAUGAUCAGCCACACUGGGACUGAGAAACGGCCCAGACUCUUACGGGAGGAAGCAGCUGGGAAUAUUGGAAAACGGGCGAAAGACUGACCCUGCAAGGCAGCGUGAGUGAUGAAGGCCUUAGGGUGGUAAAGCUCUUGUACCCGUGAUGAUAAUGACAGUACCGGGUGAAUAGGCUACGGCUAACUCCGUG
rnacentral:rRNA from 1 species